AGAGUUUGAUCCUGGCUCAGGAUAAACGCUGGCGGCGUGCUUUAUGCAUGCAAGUCGAACGGUACUGAUAAAUCAGGCUUGCCUGGAAUAUCAGGAGAGUGGCAAACGGGUGAGUAACACAUAAGUAACCUGCCCCUAAGUAGGGGAUAACUCUGAGAAAUCGGAGCUAAUACCGUAUGUGGUGCUGGGGGUAAUGCUCCAUCACUAAAGCCUUCGGGUGCUUGGGGAGGGGCUUGUGUCCGAUUAGCUAGUUGGUAGAGUAACGGUUUACCAAGGCGAUGAUCGGUAGCUGGUCUGAGAGGAUGGUCAGCCACACUGGGACUGAGGUACGGCCCAGACUCCUACGGGAGGCAGCAGCAAGGAAUUUUGUGCAAUGGGCGAAAGCCUGACACAGCGACGCCGCGUGGGGGAUGAAGGCCUUCGGGUUGUAAACCCCUUUUCUCAGGGAUGAAUAAUGACAGUACCUGAGGAAUAAGCCAUGGCUAACUACGUGCCAGCAGCCGCGGUAAAACGUAGGUGGCGAGCGUUAUCCGGAUUUACUGGGCGUAAAGAGGGCGCAGGUGGCUUUUCAAGUCGGGUGUAAAAUCUCCCAGCUUAACUGGGAGGGAUCACUCGAUACUGCUAAGCUAGAGGACAACAGGGGGAGGUAGAAUUCCCGGUGUAGUGGUGAAAUGCGUAGAUAUCGGGAGGAAUACCAGUGGCGAAGGCGGCCUCCUGGGUUGUUUCUGACACUUAAGCCCGAAAGCGUGGGGAGCGAACAGGAUUAGAUACCCUGAUAGUCCAUGCUGUAAACUAUGGACACUGGGUAUGGGGAGUAUCGACCCUCUCUGUGCCGAAGCUAACGCGUUAAGUGUCCCGCCUGGGAACUACGGCCGCAAGGCUAAAACUCAAAGGAAUUGACGGGGGCCCGCACAAGCAGCGGAGCGUGUGGUUUAAUUCGAUGCAAAGCGAAGAACCUUACCAAGCUUGACAUGACGGAAGUAGUGACCCGAAAGGGGAUGACCUGUUAAGUCAGGAGUCGUCCCAGGUGCUGCAUGCUGUCGUCAGCUCGUGCCGGGAGUGAUGAUAGUCUGCACGAGCGUACCUCAUUGCAAGUGUAUUCUCUGCAACUGCCUCGAAACGGGAGGAAGGUGGGAUGACUCAGUCGCACGCCUAGGUCCUGGCUACACAC
rnacentral:rRNA from 1 species